GUGACCAGGCCUUGUUCAGUCAGAGCCGCUACAGCGAGUCGGGUUGCUCUUAUGAGGAGGCCGCUUUUAACCCUUGCGGGACAGAAGCCGCUGUCGCCGGUUAACCUUGUCGCAGGGGCGGGGCCAGAAGCAAAAAAAAAGUGUAAAACAUGAUACCAACAGUUGGAAACACUGAACAAAAUCUGUUUUGAAACAUGUUUUGGGUGCAGUUCUUUUCUAGGCAUGCCUCUGUGCAGAAGAUUUUAGCAAUGAGCAGUGUAACCAGAUGCACUUCAAAAUCAGUUGAACAUGGCUGGUCUGUGUGUUUAAGAAGCAUUUUCUUUAACUCUGUCAAAUACUAUCCCACUAAAUUAGUUCUGGGAAUUGAAACUAGUUGUGAUGAUACAGCAGCUGCUGUGGUUGAUGAUACUGGCAAAAUCUUAGGAGAAGCUCUACAUUCUCAAAAUGAAGUCCAUUUAAAAACAGGUGGGAUUAUUCCUCCAGUGGCACAGCAACUUCACAGAGAAAAUAUUGAGCGAAUAGUGAAAGAAACACUCUGCGUCAGUGGAAUCUCUCUCGAUGAACUCUCUGCUGUUGCAACUACUGUAAAGCCAGGACUCGCUUUAAGUCUUGGAGUGGGAUUAGAAUAUAGUUUAAAAUUGGUGGACAAGUAUAAAAAACCUUUCAUCCCCAUCCAUCACAUGGAGGCACAUGCACUUACAAUUAGGCUAAUAAACCAAGUGGAAUUUCCUUUCUUAGUUCUUUUAAUCUCUGGAGGCCACUGUAUCCUGGUAGUAGCACAAGGAGUUUCAGAUUUCCUUCUGCUUGGACAGUCAGUGGAUAUAGCACCAGGAGACAUUCUUGACAAGGUAGCAAGAAGACUGUCUCUAACAAAGCACCCAGAGUGCUGCAGAAUGAGUGGCGGGAAAGCUAUAGAGCACUUGGCCCAACAGGGAAACAGGCUGCAUUAUGAACUCAGAGCUCCCAUGCGACAUCAUCCUAACUGCAAUUUUUCCUUUUCUGGACUUCACUCCAAUGCCACUAGAAUAAUUAUGCAAAAAGAAAAGGAAGAAGGUAUACAGGAGGGACACCUCCUGUCCUGUGUUACAGACAUUGCUGCUGCAGUACAGCAUGCAGUAGCACUUCAUAUUGCCCAGCGAACACACCGGGCCAUUCUGUUCUGCAUAAAAAGCGGCAUCCUAUCACAAACAAAUGCAACUUUGGUUGUAUCAGGAGGAGUUGCAAGUAACCAGUAUAUCCGAAGAGCUCUGCAAAUUGUAACAGAUGCAAGUAACUUCAGUUUGCUGUGUCCUCCUCCCAGACUCUGUACUGACAAUGGUGUUAUGAUUGCAUGGAAUGGCAUUGAAAGGAUGCGUGCAGGCUUAGGUGUGUUACAUAGCACAGAUGGCAUACGCUAUGAACCAAAAGCUUCUCUUGGAAUUGAUAUCUCAGAACAAGUCGGAGAAGUUGCCAUCAAGGAGAUACUCUUCCCUUCAUUCUGUCCAAAGCCACAGCAUCUGAGAAGAAAGCUCUGGCACACUUUAGAUGUUCAAAAAGCAUUAAAGAGCUCCAAAUCAACAAGAAGCUAGGGCUCCUUUUUUAUAUCCUUUCAUCCAAAGAACCAAAGGCUUAGGGUAUCCAAGCUAUUAGUAACUAUAUGGAUCAAGCUAUGCAUCACAGAAGUAUGCAAGACACCAGGUGAUCCAGCAUUAAGGCACAUGCCACAAGAGCUGUGAUGACUGUAUAGGCAAAAAGUACUUAUGCUUUUAUUCUAGAAAACUGCAGGGCUGCAAAGUGGUCAUGAGUUAACACCUUUAUUAGAUCCUAUAAAAUGGACUUUCUGUCCUUCACAGAGGCCUCCUGUGGCAGGGAUGCUACAAGCAGUGGUCUAGUAAUAGCAUUGCCAUUUUGGGCAAUUAAGUUGGGGGAGGGGGAUGUCUUCCUUAUCUCAAUCUUUUUUCUUAAUUCUCCUGACUUCUGUUCACUGCUGUCUACCUCACAUACAUCUCAGAAUAGUGGUAGAUACUGCUAGCAGAAAGGAAAUUAUCAGGCAUUUUGGAAGAGCCAGUCUCCUGACCUGAGUCUGCCAUCUAAUACUACACUGUAAGUUUCAAUAUCUCAUUUUGGAGAAACAACCGUAUUUUAUGGACAUGCUUAACUUUAUAUUACUAUGAGUUUUUGCUCAGCUUCUAUAAUUCUUACCUGUUAGAACAAGAGUAGCUGUCUUUUCAGAAUUUAGUAGUUCAACUAAAAUAGUAACCCCUCUUGCAGACAAAGUAACUUGGUCCACAUCCACUAUGACUUUGGCUAAAACAACAAUCUGAAAUCAAAAGCAGACCGUUUUUAAAAGAUAUGGAUUGUUUAAGUAGGUUUCUUCCAUUUCCUUUUUUCUUCACGUAUUAAUAAGAAAAUCACUUAUUGUGUAUAGUGUUGUACGUUUACAUGACACUUUCAACCCUAUCACUUGCAAUUUGGACCUUUGCCUAUUGGCAGAAAAAGGCACAACCUUAGUAUAGACAUGUCAGUGCAAUACAAGCAAUUUUAUCCAUAUAACUCAUACAUAUUCAGGUGUUACAGACUUUUCCACUACUCUAUACAUCUGUUGGUUUGUUAAAAUUAUCUUGAUACAGUAGUUAUUCUUUUCUUAUGCUAAAAUAAAAACACGUAGGGAAAAAACGUGCAUUCCUUAAUCAGACAGAAUUCCCAUUGAUUUUUGUCUGAGUAAAGAUACAGGAUCAAGUCUAUAGCCAACAUUUUCUUCUACCAUGAAAAACAGUCCCAAGUUCUGAUUAUUUUUGAAAUAGUUCACGACUGGAGGCUUGCAGAGAAGAUGAGGAUCUUCAAAAUCUGUAAUGUAAUUUACACAUUUUAUAAGUGUUACUAUAUUCGGCCAUUUAAGCUCUUUGAAAAGGACUUUAUAUUAAUAUUUUUGUGUAAAAAUCAGUUCUAAUAACCAUAACAUUACACAUAAUACAUUUUAAACUGGUAA